GCAUAAUAACUAUAUUAUCGACAAUAACACAUUUAAUCAAUAUCAAAAGAAUAUGGUUAAAUAUAUGCUUUUUUUUUUCCAAAUGUUUCAUACAUAGUCAUAGCCUAUUCAAUGUCGCAAGUGCUGUAAAAAUAAAAACUAUUCCUCUGUCCAAUGACACUGUUGCCAGACGUAUAAAUGACAUUGCAAACGAUCUUCAAGAACAGCUGGUUGAUAAACUCAAAGACAGACGUUUUGCUUUGCAGUUUUGACCUGACAAACUCCCUGUGUGAGGAUCUACAUUUUUUGAUGGUGCACAGACCAUGGCAGGGAUGAGAAAAGGAUUCGGGGCACUCAUCAAAAAUGCCUCACCUAAUGCUGAGUGGACACAAUGUGUUAUACACAAAGAAGCAUUGGACUCAAGGCACCUUUCCUCUGAAUUCAGUGAGGUCAUGACUGACAUUAUAGGUGUAGUCAAUUUCAUCAAGACCAGACCUCUAAAAACAAGAGUCUUUUCUUCUAUCUGUGAGGAGAUGGGAGCUGAGCACCAAGCUGUGCUGUUUCACAGUAAAGCAAGGUGACUGUCAAGAAGAAAUGAGCUCAGAGAGGAGAUAAUGUUUUUGGCGCAGGAACACAAGUAUGAAGUCGCAGAAAAAUUCGGUGACGAGAACUUCUUGGCUAAGGUGACCAGACGUCCUCUUUUCACAUGUCCUACUUUUGAGACCAAAACAAUAUCGGGGGGUAAUUUCAAAAUCAUCUGGGAUUUUUGUUCGACUGCCUCAAACAUAAUACACAUUGUACAUUGUCAAUAGUAUUUUCACUCCGUUCCAUUUCAGUCAAUUCCACGUUUCUCUGUAUCGUUCGCAAAUAAGUCACGUUGAAUAAAAAAUUCCCGUGCUUUCGCCAGCGUCGUGAUCCUUAUGAAGCUGAGUGCUUGACAUCUAAGGCAGGCACUUGCGUGUCUGUGGCAA